rnacentral:rRNA from 1 species
UCCAGCCUGCCCGGUGACUAGAUUUAACGGCCGCGGUACCCUAACCGUGCAAAGGUAGCACAAUCACUUGUUCUUUAAAUGAGGACUAGAAUCAACGGCAUCACGAGGAUCCCACUGUCUCCCCCCUCCAAUCAGUGAAACUGAUCUCCCCGUGAAGAAGCGGGGAUACAAAUAUAAGACGAGAAGACCCCAUGGAGCUUUAAACCCAACAGCACCCGUUUAUUUUCAUCCUCACAUAAGUUAGGUUAUGCCUGUUUGGUUUUAGGUUGGGGUGACCACGGAGUAUAAAACAACCUCCAUGAAAAAAGGACCAAAAAUCCUUAUUAGAGAAAGACAUUUCUAAAAUUAAUAAAUUAAUUUUUAAUGAUCCGAUAUUCGAUCAACGAACCAAGUUACCCUGGGGAUAACAGCGCAAUCCACUUCAAGAGCUCCUAUCGACAAGUGGGUUUACGACCUCGAUGUUGGAUCAGGGUAUCCUAGUGGUGCAGCAGCUACUAACGGUUCGUUUGUUCAACGAUUAAAACCCU